GCCGAGGUAGCUCAGUUAGUAGAGCAGCCGAUUUGUAAUCGGCCGGUCGCAGGUGCAAAUCCUGUCCUCGGCU
rnacentral:tRNA from 1 species